AGCUAGGAGUCGCACUUCAAAUACCAGUUCAGCAUCAACUGUGAACUUUUGUUCAACACAUUGAAAUUAAUUGUCGCAUAUCUGUGGGCAACGAUGAGACAAGAUCGCCAUAAGUAACCUAGCAUUUUCAAGAGUGGAAAGAGAAAAAUUUGAAAUGAUCGACUUUGGUCAUGUAAUUGAUAACUCUGCAUCACCAAAGGCAAGAGAAAUUGACCGUGGUUCCGCUACGGACACGAGGCAGCCUGCAACAUCAUCUCUCUCGUGGCAAAUCGUAACAUUGCCCAGAAUCUACCUCAGGAUCAAAGGCUGGAGAGCAGUGGUGUGCAGCUGGCAGACUCUGGCUGCAGAUACGGUUCCAUAGAUGCGGCAGUAGAGUGGUGGCUGCCAACUCCAAGGCAGUUGGGCAACGAUCCUCGGAUCACAGCCCAGCAGUGAUGUUUGAUUUGUGGAGUGCUCAACUGCAUGGUCACCAGUGCCUAUACAAAGUCCCAGUUUUUACACAGUCCAAUCUAGUCAGUGUCACUAAUGAUGAUGAAAUGAUGAAGACAACACAAACACCCAGUCCCUGAGAGCAGCAACAUAGUUAUGGUGAAGACUCCAUUGAUAUGGCUGGUGCAACUGGGCAUAGUUACAUUGCCCUGCUGGUCUGCCUCGAUGGGCUUGCUGAGGUGUUUCAGACUCCAGACGUUUCCCGAGUACCAAAGUUGCUGAUAUGCAGAAGUGAUGGCUUCUGCUGAGAAGUCGUAUCAACAGAGGUGUUGUUCUGCAGCGGUCAGUGUCUGGGUCACAGCACUCAGGCGGUGUCUGUUCCAUUGCAGCUUGUUGCCCCCCAAUAAAAUUCAG